GUCAUUUAUUCUCAAACGGACGCCGUUAUCUUUGUGACACGAUUGCACCAGCUCAGAGCCAUGGGUGCAGUGUGGGGUCCACAUCUGAGAUCUUAGCCUUUCGUCAUGAUUCACUGCGCCAUUCAGUGCAAAUCAUAAGCUACAAAAUUGCAUUAUCAGUACAGCUCUUUUCAAUCAAUUCAAGGGGAAGAUAACACAGACAGAUGCUAUUUCAAAGGACACUUUGUAUAUGUAGCUCGAGCAGUCACAUCUGAAGUAGAGCAGAGAUUCUCUCCGAUUCAGGAACCUAUUUAUUGCUGUCUGCGUCGUGCGGCAGCACCGCAGCCGUCGUUACACUCGCAGCAGAGGUAUUUAUACAUCGUGAUUUGCCUAAGGACUUCUUCCUCUGCCAGGCCCCACUUAGCAAAACAUCAAAAUAGGUGCUCAAGAUCACGCCCCAGU